AGCUGCAGCAUACUUCAUUUUCAGUGUUGUGUGGAGGGACAAAAGGCUUCAUUAUUUUUAGCUGUUUUAUUCACUGCAACAACAUGAAGAUCCUUCAGCUUCAGCUCUAUGUAUUAAUCUGUUAUCAGUAUGCAGUGGCAGAUCUAUUAACUGAUCUGGGAUCAAAUGUGAUCAUAAACUGUGAUCUUGAUGAAAAUGAGGUUUAUUGGAUUUUACUGAAAACAGCAGAUCCUCCAACAGUGAUUCUACGAUCUUUGUCAACCACAACAUCACCUUUUUACCCUAAUAAAACAUUCAGAAAGAAAUAUUCAGUGCAGUUUAAACAUCGUCUGGUUAUUAAUAAUGUGACUGCUGAUGAAUUAGGAGUUUAUUACUGUAUGAACACAGAAACACCUCCAAAACUCAGCAACAGCACCAGAAUAUACUUCAGCGAAUCAGCUCAACUAACUGAGUGUCACAAUCAUACAGUUUAUGAGUUUAUUGAUCAGAAUCAAACACAAUAUCACAUUAUCAUCAUCAUAUCUGCUCUGAUGAACGGACUUCUGCUCAUUCUGCUGAUCGGUGAGUUAUUAUUCUUAUUGUUCUAAAAAUUAUCAAAUUAAAUACACAUUAGGGUAAAAAAAUAUUAAUAUAAUGCUGUUCUCUGUAGGUGAAGCUUUUAUUUGGUUGUUUAUUUAUUUAAUCAUUUAUUUAUUUUGUCUCCAUACUGUAUACAGUUGAGGUCAAAAGUUUACAUCCCCCUUUCAGAAUCUGCAAAAUGUUAAAUAUUUUACCAAAAUAAGAGGGAUCAUACAAAAUGCAUGUUAUUGUUAAUUUCGUACUGACCUGAAUAAGAUAUUUCACAUAAAAGAUGUUUACAUAAAGUCCACAAGAG
ensembl:lncRNA